CCUACGGGUGGCAGCAGUGAGGAAUAUUGGUCAAUGGGCGCGAGCCUGAACCAGCCAAGUCGCGUGAGGGAAGACGGUCCUAUGGAUUGUAAACCUCUUUUGUCGGGGAGCAAAAGACGCCACGCGUGGCGUUCCGAGAGUACCCGAAGAAAAAGCAUCGGCUAACUCCGUGCCAGCAGACGCGGUAACACGGAGGAUUCGAGCGUUAUCCGGAUUUAGUGGGUGUAAAGGGUGCGCAGGCGGAAGAUCAAGACAGCGGUAAAAUUGAGAGGCUCAACCUCUUCGAGCCGUUGAAACUGGUUUUCUUGAGUGAGUGAGAAGUAUGCGGAAUGCGUGGUGUAGCGGUGAAAUGCAUAGAUAUCACGCAGAACUCCGAUUGCGAAGGCAGCAUACCGGCGCUCAACUGACGCUCAUGCACGAAAGUGUGGGUAUCGAACAGGAUUAGAUACCCCUGUAGUC
rnacentral:rRNA from 1 species